GUUCAUUUUGGCAGCACAUAUACUAAAAUUGGAACUAUACAGAGAAGAUUAGCAUGGUUCUGAUGAAAGGAUUACAUGCAAAUCUGUGUAACAUCCGUAUUUUCG